UACAGAGGGUGCAAGCGUUGUCCGGAAUUACUGGGCGUAAAGGGCGCGUAGGCGGUUCGGUAAGUAGGGGGUGAAAUGCUGCGGCUCAACCGCAGCCCGGCCUUCUAAACUGCCAGACUUGAGCGUAACAGAGGCAGGUGGAAUUCCCGGUGUAGCGGUGGAAUGCGUAGAGAUCGGGAAGAACAUCGGUGGCGAAGGCGGCCUGCUGGGUUACUGCUGACGCUGAGGCGCGAUAGCGUGGGGAGCAAACAGG
rnacentral:rRNA from 1 species